GAGUUUGAUCCUGGCUCAGAUUGAACGCUGGCGGUAUGCUUAACACAUGCAAGUCGAACGGUAACAGCAGAGUUUGUUCUGGCUGACGAGUGGCGGACGGGUGCGUAACGCGUGGGAAUCUACCUUAUAGUGGGGGAUAGCCCGGAGAAAUCCGGAUUAAUACCGCAUAAGCCCUAUGGGGGAAAAGGGGCCUUUUUUUGGAAGCUCUUGCUAUUAGAUGAGCCCGCGUAAGAUUAGCUUGUUGGUGGGGUAAUGGCCUACCAAGGCGAUGAUCUUUAGCUGGUCUGAGAGGAUGAUCAGCCACACUGGGACUGAGACACGGCCCAGACUCCUAUGGGAGGCAGCGGUGGGGAAUAUUGGACAAUGGGCGCAAGCCUGAUCCAGCAAUACCGCGUGUGUGAAGAAGGCCUGAGGGUUGUAAAGCACUUUCAAUUGUGAAGAAAAGCCUUAAAUUAAUAUUUUAGGGUUUUGAUGUUAACUUUAGAAGAAGCACCGGUUAACUCCGUGCCAGUAGUUGUGGUAAUACGGAGGGUGCAAGCGUUAGUCGGAAUUACUGGGCGUAAAGCGCACGUAGGCGGUUAGGUAAGUCAGAUGUGAAAGCCCCGGGUUUAACCUGGGAACUGCAUUUGAUACUGCUUAACUAGAGUAUAGUAGAGGCAAGUGGAAUUCCAGGUGUAGCGGUGAAAUGCGUAGAUAUCUGGAGGAAUAUUAGUGGCGAAGGCGACUUGCUGGACUAAUACUGACGCUGAGGUGCGAAAGCGUGGGGAGUAAACAGGAUUAGAUACCCUGGUAGUCCACGCCGUAAACGAUGUCAACUAGCCGUUGGGAGCAUUUAAGCUUUUAGUGGCGCAGCCAACGCAUUAAGUUGACCGCCUGGGGAGUACGCGCGCAAGCGUAAAACUCAAAGGAAUUGACGGGGGCCCGCACAAGCGGUGGAGCAUGUGGUUUAAUUCGAUGCAACGCGAAGAACCUUACCAGCCCUUGACAUCCUGCGAACUUUCUAGAGAUAGAUUGGUGCCUUUGGGAACGCAGUGACAGGUGCUGCAUGGCUGUCGUCAGCUCGUGUUGUGAGAUGUUGGGUUAAGUUCCGCAACGAGCGCAACCCUUGUCCUUAGUUGCCAGUAUGUAAUGGUGGGAACUUUAAGGAGACUGCCGGUGAUAAACCGGAGGAAGGUGGGGAUGACGUCAAGUCAUUAUGGCCCUUAUGGGCUGGGCUACACACGUGCUACAAUGGCAAGUACAGAGGGCUGCAAUCCCGCGAGGGGGAGCCAAUCCCACAAAGCUUGUCUUAGUCCGGAUUGGAGUCUGCAACUCGACUCCAUGGAG
rnacentral:rRNA from 1 species